GUUUCCGGGCCGCGCUUCCGGCCGCGUGGCGGGCGGGGGGAUUUCCUGCCGGGGCCUCCGAGAAGCCACAGCCCCCGAUGGUGACAUGGGUGGGUGUGUUGGCACUUGGUGCUGCCAUUCCUGAGGGGAGGGAGGACCAGGUGGCUGGACCAGGAGAUGGUUCUGCAGGAUGGUAAGAGCUGCCCUUGCAGUUUGGUUUUACCUGUGUGGUCUUUUAGGAGGAAUGGUUUGGAUUGGAAGGGAACUGAAAGAUCAUGUAGUUCCAACCCCCCUUCCGUGGGCAGGGACAACUUCCACUAUCCUGGGUUGCUCCAAGCCCUG